rnacentral:rRNA from 1 species
AGCGAACGCUGGCGGCAGGCCUAACACAUGCAAGUCGAACGGAUCCUUCGGGAUUAGUGGCGGACAGGUGAGUAACACGUGGGAACGUGCCCUUUGGUUCGGAACAACUCAGGGAAACUUGAGCUAAUACCGGAUGUGCCCUUCGGGGGAAAGAUUUAUCGCCAUUGGAGCGGCCCGCGUCUGAUUAGCUAGUUGGUGAGGUAACGGCCCACCAAGGCGACGAUCAGUAGCUGGUCUGAGAGGAUGAUCAGCCACACUGGGACUGAGACACGGCCCAGACUCCUACGGGAGGCAGCAGUGGGGAAUCUUGCGCAAUGGGCGAAAGCCUGACGCAGCCAUGCCGCGUGAAUGAUGAAGGUCUUAGGAUUGUAAAAUUCUUUCAGCGGGGACGAUAAUGACGGUACCCGCAGAAGAAGCUCCGGCUAACUUCGU